GGGAGCCUGAUUUUGUUCAUCUGGACAAAGAUAAACAAGGCUAAGGCCGAUGCAUUUGGACCAGCUGUCGCGUCUGGACUAAUAUGUGGAGAUGGAAUUUGGACCUUGCCUAGUUCAAUCUUAGCUUUAUCAGGUGUUAAUCCACCAAUUUGCAUGAAGUUUCUAUCAAGGAAGGACAAUAUCAGAGUAGAUAAGUUCAUGCAUCCUAAAGCUCGGUAACGUGUAGGUUCUAUCGCGUUCUUAUUGUUCUGUUUUUCCUCCGUAUGUUCGAUGUUUAUAUUGCUAUGAACUUGCUAUAAAG
rnacentral:misc_RNA from 1 species